UAGCAGAACGUUGGUCGGCGUGGAUUGAGGCAUGCAAGUCGCAGCGAGAACCGUACGCAAUACGGACGACGGCAGGCGAAAGGGACAGUAAUGUGUAGGUACCUACCUCCGGGUUCGGGAUAGCUGCGGGAAACUGCAGGUAAUACCGAAUAACGUCUCCGGACCAAAUGGUGUGAUUGCCACCUGGAGAGGGGCCUGCAUCCUAUUAGCUAGUUGGCGGGGUAACGGCCCACCAAGGCGACGAUGGGUAGCGGGUGUGAGAGCACGACCCCACGUCAUUGGGACUGAGACACUGCCCAGACACCUACGGGUGGCUGCAGUCGAGGAUCUUCGGCAAUGGGCGAAGGAGUGACCGAGCGACGCCGCGUGCGGGAUGAAGGCCUUCGGGUUGUAAAGCCGCUGUCGUAGCUCAGGAAGUGCAGGGGAGUUCUCCCGCCUUGCUUGACCUAUUCUAGGAGGAAGUACGGCGCUAACAUCGUGCCACAGCAGCCGCGCAUAGACGGAAGCCGUACAAACGUUACUCGGAAUUACUGCGGCUUCAAGGGUGCGUAGGCUGCGCGGAAGCUUGGGUGUGAAAGCCCUCAGCUCAACUGGGGAAUUGCACUCAAUAACUACCGUGCUCGAGGGCAGACAGAGGUAAGCGGAACUCAAGGUGGAGCGGUGAAAUGCCGUUGAUAUGGUGAGCAAACACCGGUGGCGAAAGCGGCUUACUGCGGUCUUCUUCUGACGCUGAGGCACGAAAAGCUAAGGUAGCAAACGGCGAUUAGAUACCGCCGACUGUCUUAAGCUGUAAACGAUGAGCACUUGUUUGAACGGGUCCUUCCAUAGCCUUUCAGGACGUAGCGAAAGUGUUAAGUGCUCCGCCUGGGGAGUAUGGUCGCAAGGCUGAAACUCAAAUGAAAUUGACGGGCGGCUCACACGAGCGGUGGAGGAUGUGGCUUAAUUCGAGGCUACGCGAAGAACCUUAUCCUAGUCUUGACAUGCUUGGAUUAACCCUGUGAACUCAGGGCCACGCCUUCGGCUGGAACAUCCACAGCAGCUGCAUGGCUGUCGUACAGCUCGUGUCGUGCAGAUGUCGCGUUAAGUCGCUUAACGAGCGACAACCCUUGUCUCUAGUUGCCAGCCGGGUAAAGCCGGGGACUCUAGAGAGACCGCCGGCGUUAAGCCGGAGGAAGGUGGGGAUGACGUCAAGUCCUCAUGGCCCUUAUGACUAGGGCUGCACACGUCCCCCAAUGGAUCGCACAACAGGGAAGCAACGCACGCGAGGCCGAGCAAAUCCCAAAUAAACGAUCCCUAGUUCGGAUUGCAGGCUGCAACUCGCCUGCAUGAAGCUGGAAUCCGCUAGUAAUUACGGGUCAGCAUACCGCGAUGAAUGUGUUCCUGAGCCUUGUACACACCGCCCGUCAGUCCACGAAAGUGGGCGCGCAUCCGAAGUCGCUGAGGUAACCGCAAGACUCCAGGCCGCCUAAGCACACGUCUGCGAUCGGCUCA
rnacentral:rRNA from 1 species